rnacentral:rRNA from 1 species
GACGAACGCUGGCGGCGUGCUUAACACAUGCAAGUCGAACGGAAAGGCCCUGCUUUUGUGGGGUGCUCGAGUGGCGAACGGGUGAGUAACACGUGAGUAACCUGCCCUUGACUUUGGGAUAACUUCAGGAAACUGGGGCUAAUACCGGAUAGGAGCUCCUGCUGCAUGGUGGGGGUUGGAAAGUUUCGGCGGUUGGGGAUGGACUCGCGGCUUAUCAGCUUGUUGGUGGGGUAGUGGCUUACCAAGGCUUUGACGGGUAGCCGGCCUGAGAGGGUGACCGGCCACAUUGGGACUGAGAUACGGCCCAGACCCCUACGGGAGGCAGCAGUGGGGAAUAUUGCACAAUGGGCGGAAGCCUGAUGCAGCAACGCCGCGUGCGGGAUGACGGCCUUCGGGUUGUAAACCGCUUUCGCCUGUGACGAAGCGUGAGUGACGGUAAUGGGUAAAGAAGCACCGGCUAACUACGUGCCAGCAGCCGCGGUGAUACGUAGGGUGCGAGCGUUGUCCGGAUUUAUUGGGCGUAAAGGGCUCGUAGGUGGUUGAUCGCGUCGGAAGUGUAAUCUUGGGGCUUAACCCUGAGCGUGCUUUCGAUACGGGUUGACUUGAGGAAGGUAGGGGAGAAUGGAAUUCCUGGUGGAGCGGUGGAAUGCGCAGAUAUCAGGAGGAACACCAGUGGCGAAGGUGGUUCUCUGGGCCUUUCCUGACGCUGAGGAGCGAAAGCGUGGGGAGCGAACAGGCUUAGAUACCCUGGUAGUCCACGCUGUAAACGGUGGGUACUAGGUGUGGGGUCCAUUCCACGGGUUCCGUGCCGUAGCUAACGCUUUAAGUACCCCGCCUGGGGAGUACGGCCGCAAGGCUAAAACUCAAAGGAAUUGACGGGGCCCCGCACAAGCGGCGGAGCAUGCGGAUUAAUUCGAUGCAACGCGUAGAACCUUACCUGGGUUUGACAUGGAUCGGGAGUGCUCAGAGAUGGGUGUGCCUCUUUUGGGGUCGGUUCACAGGUGGUGCAUGGCUGUCGUCAGCUCGUGUCGUGAGAUGUUGGGUUAAGUCCCGCAACGGGCGCAACCCUUGUUCACUGUUGCCAGCACGUUAUGGUGGGGACUCAGUGGAGACCGCCGGGGUCAACUCGGAGGAAGGUGGGGAUGACGUCAAGUCAUCAUGCCCCUUAUGUCCAGGGCUUCACGCAUGCUACAAUGGCUGGUACAGAGAGUGGCGAGCCUGUGAGGGUGAGCGAAUCUCGGAAAGCCGGUCUCAGUUCGGAUUGGGGUCUGCAACUCGACCUCAUGAAGUCGGAGUCGCUAGUAAUCGCAGAUCAGCAACGCUGCGGUGAAUACGUUCCCGGG